GGGCGGUUAGCUCAGUUGGUUAGAGCGUUUGCUCGACACGCAAAAGGUCACCGGUUCGAAUCCAGUACCGCCCACCA
rnacentral:tRNA from 1 species